UACGAAGGGGCUAGCGUUGCUCGGAAUCACUGGGCGUAAGCGCGCGCAGGCGGUUUUCAAGUCAGUGGUGAAAGCCCGGAGCUCAACUCCGGAACUGCCAUUGAAACUGUGAAACUUGAGGAUGAGAGAGGUGAGUGGAAUUCCCAGUGUAGAGGUGAAAUUCGUAGAUAUUGGGAAGAACACCGGUGGCGAAGGCGGCUCACUGGCUCAUUCUGACGCUCAGGCGCGACAGCGUGGGGAUCAAACAGG
rnacentral:rRNA from 1 species